UGUUACUGUUGACACGUUAAAGAGAUUUGUAAACUUGUAGAAAGUUCUGUAAAUUUGUAGAAAGAGAUUUCGCAAGUAAAAAUUCGAUUUGUGCAGCUCUGGGGACAGGACCUUUUACUCCUGACCAAUCAGUUCCCUUUGCCAAAACCACAGCUGCCUAACCAUUGGCUAGAUUGUUCCAUCAAUCAAAUCUCAGGAAGUUGCUACCCACUUGAACAAGAGAGGAUGAAGUAAAUAAAACCAAAAUGAUCUAUUUGAAGUUAUUGCAUUUCAGGUGGAGCGGGAGUAAGACCACUAGAAAGCAACAUGCUGCCAGACCACCACAGGACCAUGGAGGCCUCAGCAUGCUGUGACAAGGGCCCGGAUGGUGACAUAUGCUUCAAGCUGCCUGACUGAAUACAGGGGCCUUCAGCGUACCUUUGAGGGGCCAGGAGCUGCUCUAUGCUGCUAUGCCCAUCAAUGGGGCUGUAGAAAAGACCUCACCUCCAGCCUGCUCACCAACAGUUGUCAAUAGGGAGAACAGAAUUAGAAACAUGUAUGGAGGCAGCACAUGGAGACUUGCAAGAUGAAGUCCAGACUGACAGACGGGCUUGAUACUGAUGUCUCUGAAUGGAGAAAGACCUGGCACUCGGCAUUAACAUUUUACUAGACAA